rnacentral:rRNA from 1 species
GCUCACAAGCAUAUCACACCAAAAGCACCGUUGCUCUUUCGAUCAUCAAAGUUAAGCAACGUUGAACCUAUUUAAUACGUAGACGAGUGACCACUUGGAGCCCAAGCUCCUGUGAGUA